rnacentral:rRNA from 1 species
CAAGUCGAACGGUAACAGGUUAAGCUGACGAGUGGCGAACGGGUGAGUAAUGCAUCGGAACGUGCCCAGGUCGUGGGGGAUAACGCAGCGAAAGCUGUGCUAAUACCGCAUACGAUCUGCGGAUGAAGCGGGGGACCGUAAGGCCUCGCGCGAUUGGAGCGGCCGAUGUCAGAUUAGGUAGUUGGUGGGGUAAAGGCUCACCAAGCCAACGAUCUGUAGCUGGUCUGAGAGGACGACCAGCCACACUGGGACUGAGACACGGCCCAGACUCCUACGGGAGGCAGCAGUGGGGAAUUUUGGACAAUGGGCGCAAGCCUGAUCCAGCCAUUCCGCGUGCAGGACGAAGGCCUUCGGGUUGUAAACUGCUUUUGUACGGAACGAAAAGCCUUGGGUUAAUACCUCGAGGUCAUGACGGUGCCGUAAGAAUAAGCACCGGCUAACUACGUG